rnacentral:rRNA from 1 species
CCUACGGGAGGCAGCAGUAAGGAAUCUUCCGCAAUGGGGGCAACCCUGACGCAGCAACGCCGCGUGAGUGAUGAAGGCCUUCGGGUCGUAAAGCUCUGUCAGAGGGGAAGAAAUGCAGGUGGUGAACAACCAUUCUGUUUGACGGUACCCUCAAAGGAAGCACCGGCUAACUCCGUGCCAGCAGCCGCGGUAAUACGGAGGGUGCGAGCGUUGUUCGGAAUUAUUGGGCGUAAAGCGCGUGUAGGCGGUUUGUUAAGUCUGAGGUAAAAGCCCCGGGCUAAACCUGGGAAGUGCAUUGGAUAUGGGCAGACUUGAGUACGGGAGAGGAGAGUGAAAUUCCCAGUGUAGGAGUGAAAUCCGUAGAUAUGGGGAGGAACACCGGUGGCGAGGGCGGCUCUCUGGACCGAUACUGACGCUGAGACGCGAAAGCGGGGGGAGCAAACAGGAUAAGAUCCCCUGGUAGU